rnacentral:misc_RNA from 1 species
ACGGUAUAAAAUAGUUUCGGUACUGUGUUCAUAAUAACAAUUUACGUUAUUUAGUUACACAAAAGUUUAAAAUAAUUAAAAUUUAUACAUAUAUUAACUGGAAACAACUGCACCGCGUAUAAAUAUUGAUACACCCCCAAAGAAAUAUUGGACUAACCCAUCCAUACACGGUAAACGGCAGUGUUGAUUAUCUUUCUCUGCGUUCAAGAGGGUGUUGGAAAGAUCGAGGCUGUCUCUGGCCUAACCCCUCUACCACAAUUCUUUCGUUUUGACAAGGAUUAUAAACCCAGGGUAUAGGUUGUAUAAAAGGGUCCAAUUAAUGUGUUUAUGAUUCUGUUGUGAUAUUUUUGGAUUAAUUUUCUCUCCAUUAAAAAUGGAACAAGCAUAUACAAAGUCAGUGGAAGAAGUGUGCGGUUACUUUGGUGUUGACGAAGACACUGGAUUGAAUGAAGAACAAAUUAGAAAAUCGAGAGAAAAGUAUGGACCUAACGAAUUACCGGCAGAAGAGGGUAAACCACUAUGGGAACUAAUUUUAGAACAGUUUGACGAUUUGUUAGUGAAGAUUUUAUUAUUAGCAGCUUGUAUCUCAUUUGUAUUAGCUUGGUUUGAAGAAGAUGAAGAACAAGUAACAGCCUUUGUGGAACCUUUUGUGAUAUUAGUAAUUUUGAUAUGCAAUGCUGUAGUUGGAGUAUGGCAGGAAAGGAAUGCAGAAAGUGCAAUUGAAGCAUUAAAGGAAUAUGAGCCUGAGAUUGCAAAAGUGAUAAGAAAAAAUACUCGAGGUGUACAGCGAAUUAGAGCAAGUCUUCUAGUUCCUGGAGAUUUGGUUGAAGUCUCAGUUGGCGACAAAAUUCCAGCUGAUAUCAGAGUGACGACCAUCCAUUCCACAACUCUACGUAUUGAUCAGUCUAUCCUCACUGGAGAAAGUGUUAGUGUGCUCAAACAUGCUGAUCCGAUCCCUGAUCCACGAGCUGUCAACCAGGACAAGAAAAAUAUCCUCUUUUCUGGUACAAAUAUAUCUGCUGGUAAAGCAAGAGGUAUUGUCAUUGGAACUGGACUCAACACUGAAAUUGGAAAGAUUCGUAAUGAGAUGAUGGACACUGAGACAGAGAGGACACCACUGCAACAAAAACUGGACGAGUUCUCUCAGCAGUUAUCCAAAGUUAUCACAGUCAUCUGUAUUGCUGUCUGGGCCAUCAAUAUCGGGCAUUUCAAUGACCCUGCACAUGGUGGAUCAUGGAUCAAGGGAGCUAUCUACUAUUUCAAGAUUGCUGUUGCUUUGGCCGUAGCUGCUAUCCCAGAAGGUCUGCCUGCCGUAAUCACAACCUGUCUCGCUCUUGGUACAAGAAGAAUGGCCAAGAAAAAUGCUAUUGUUAGAAGUUUACCGUCAGUUGAAACCCUGGGUUGUACAUCCGUAAUCUGUUCAGACAAGACUGGUACCCUGACAACCAAUCAGAUGUCAGUCUGCAAGAUGUUUUUCUUCAACAAGAUUGAAGGAUCCAGCUGUGAGACACAGCAGUUUGAAAUCACAGGAUCUACCUAUGCUCCGGAAGGUGAUGUUUAUUUGAACGGUAAGAAGGUGGUAGGAUCAGAGAUUGCUGGCCUUGAGGAACUUAUGACUAUCUGCGCCAUGUGUAAUGACUCCAGUGUGGACUUCAAUGACGCAAAGGGAUUGUAUGAGAAGGUGGGUGAAGCAACGGAGACUGCUCUAUCUGUCCUUGCAGAGAAAGUUAACUACUACAGUACCGACAAAUCUGGACUCAACAAACGUGAGAAAGGUGUUGCCUGUAAUCAUGUCAUCCAACACAUGUGGAAGAAAGAGUUCACCUUGGAGUUUUCUCGUGACAGAAAAUCAAUGAGUGUUUAUUGCACUCCUAAUAAACCAACCCGAACGCCAGGUGGUGCUCGUAUGUUCUGCAAGGGUGCCCCAGAAGGUUUGUUAGACAGAUGUACACAUGUGCGUGUUGGAGGUAACAAAGUACCAAUGUCACCCUCCAUCAAGAAUGAAAUCAUGAAACAUGUGAAGGCUUAUGGAACUGGUCGUGAUACAUUGAGAUGUUUGGCACUGGCAACCAUUGACAACCCACCAAGACGUGAGGACAUGGACCUUGAAGACUCGAGAAAAUUCAUAGAGUAUGAAACAAACAUGACAUUUGUUGGUAUUGUUGGUAUGUUGGAUCCUCCACGUGAGGAAGUUAUUGAUGCCAUCAAGAACUGCCGUGCUGCUGGUAUCCGAGUUAUUGUUAUUACUGGUGACAACAAGGCAACUGCAGAGGCCAUUUGCAGACGUAUAGGUAUUUUCUCUGAGACUGAAUCAACAGAAGGCAUGUCAUUUACGGGUCGUGAAUUUGAUGAACUGACACCAGAAGACCAGAGAGCCGCAGUCAUGCGUUCAAGACUGUUUGCACGUGUAGAACCAACACACAAGAGUAAAAUCGUAGAAUACCUUCAAGGAGAGGGAGAAAUUUCUGCCAUGACAGGUGAUGGUGUGAAUGAUGCACCAGCCUUGAAGAAAGCUGAAAUUGGUAUCGCUAUGGGAUCAGGUACAGCUGUCGCAAAAACUGCUUCUGAAAUGGUGUUGGCUGAUGAUAACUUCUCAACAAUUGUUGCUGCAGUAGAAGAGGGACGUGCCAUCUACAACAACAUGAAACAGUUUAUCAGAUAUCUCAUCUCGUCUAACAUUGGUGAAGUUGUCUGUAUUUUCCUGACAGCUGCCUUGGGUAUCCCAGAAGCUUUGAUCCCUGUACAACUUCUUUGGGUGAACCUAGUAACUGAUGGAUUCCCAGCAACUGCUCUUGGUUUUAACCCACCUGACUUGGACAUCAUGAAGAAACCACCACGUAACCCUAAAGAAGGACUUAUCACUGGAUGGCUUUUCUUCAGAUACAUGGCUAUUGGAAUGUACGUAGGAUGUGCUACUGUCGGAGCUGCAGCUUGGUGGUUUAUGAUCUACGAGGAAGGACCAAAACUUAACUACUACCAACUGACUCAUCAUAUGCAAUGUCCGGCUGAGCCUAAGAAUUUCCCUGACAUAGAUUGUCGCAUAUUUAAUGCUCCUGAACCAAUGACAAUGGCUUUGUCUGUGCUCGUCACCAUAGAGAUGUUAAAUGCCCUGAACAGCUUGAGUGAGAACCAGUCUCUGAUGGUGAUGCCUCCUUGGACAAACAAAUGGUUGGUAGCAGCCAUACUCCUUUCAAUGGGACUUCAUUUCUUUAUCCUCUACACCAAAGUCAUGGCUACAAUAUUCCAGAUCACACCUCUCGGAGUAACGGAAUGGAUGGCAGUGUUGAAGAUAUCCAUACCAGUGAUUAUACUUGACGAGACUCUCAAGUUCAUUGCGAGAAAGUUUACUGAUGAAUACCUGUCAAGUUGUUUGUGAGUAGGAAAUAAGAGAAUUCUAUAGCAAAAAUGUAAUUUAUCUCAGUGAAGGUCUAUAGGAGUAUCCCAGCUUCUUUUGAGGAGUCGACAAUUUUCAUAGCUGUAGUUAGAUGCCAGUCUUCUGUAGAAACUACCCAGGAUUCCAUUAUUUCUUCUGAUUGAUCAGUGGUUGCCUAGCAAUGAAGUGUUUCACAAAGUUUUUCACAUCAAGGGGUGUGCUGAGAACAUGACAAAACUCCACAUAGAAAUCUAUAUAUUGUGCAAACUUUGUGACAUUGCAUGAUCUCAAUUUAACAAGAAUCAGCAAUCUGAGAGCUUCUUGUAAUCAACCAGUCUGAAAGCUUCUUGUAUAAUGGCAGCAGGUUUUUUCGUAUUAAGCAGUUGUGUGAAUUUUUUUUUUU